ensembl:lncRNA
CCCAAAUCCCAUUGGGACCCCAUCGGGACCCCCCAAUCCCAUUGGGACCCCAUCGGGACCCCCCCCCAAACCCCAUUGGGACCCCAUCAGGACCCCCCAACCCCAUUAGGACCCCUCCAACCCCAUCGGGACCCCCCAACCCCAUUGGGACCCCAUUAGGACCCCCCAACCCCAUUGGGACCCCCCCCAAAACCCCAUUGGGAUCCAUUGAACCCCAUUGGGAUCCGCUCCUUUUCCACCUCCAUUGGCCGAAGGUCCCCAUCGCCGCCCCUUCAUUUUUUGGGGUCAAACCGCCCCGAUUUGGCCAUUUUUUACCCCAUUUCGUCGUUCCUUUUUCCUUUCCCUUUGCGGACUUCCCAAAAACUCUCCAUUUUUGGGGUUUUUUGGGGUUUUUUUUCCCCUUUUUCCCCCCUUUUUUGCCCCAUUUUGGGGCUUCUUCGGUUCUCCCCCUUCGGGCGAACGGCGUCGAUUUUGGGGCUGAAAAAGUGGGAUUUGGGGUGGGGGGGGGUUUGGGGUUUUCUUCCCCCCCCCUCCCCCACACGCCGCCCCAAUGGGGUUAUAUGGCAAACGAGGGGUUUUCGGCCCAAAAUUGGGUGAAAAAACGGCGAUUUUGGGUGGGUUUGGGGCGCGAAAAGGGGUAAAAAAAAAAAGGUUAAAAAGGGUUAAAAACGGCCGUUGCGAUGGAGGGGAAAUGGUAAAGAAUGGGGUGGAGGGGGGGGGGGGGGGAAAGAGGACGGAGGGGCCGAAAAUUGGGGUGAAAAAGGGCGAAAAUGGGCAAAAAUGGGGACUUUGGGGGGGAAAAAAAAGGGCAUUUUUGGCUGUUGUCGGUCGCUGUGUUCCUCUGUCUGUAGUAAUAAAUAGAGCCUGAAGCGCUGUGGGGGUCUUUUUGGGGGGGGGUUUUGGGGGGUUUGGGGGGGAAAUGGGGGUUUGGGGUGGAAAUUGGGGGGUAUGGGGGUUUGGAGGGGAUUUUGGGGUGGUUUUGGGGUGGAAAAUGGGUGGGUUGUGGGGGGUUUUGGGGUAGAAAUUGGGGUUUGGGGGAUUUUUGGGUGGGAAAUGGGGGGUUCGGGGGAGGUUUUGGGGUGAAAAAUGGGGGUUUGGGGUGGAAAUUGGGGGGUUUGAGGGUUUAGAGGGGAUUUUGGGGUGGUUUUGGGGUGGAAAAUGGGGAUUUUGGGGUAGGAAAAUGGCGGUUUGGGGGGGUUUUGGGGUGGAAAAUGGGGGCUGUGGGGGUUUGGAGGGGAUUUUGGGGUGGUUUUGGGGUGAAAAAUGGGGGGGUUGGGGGUUUGGGGGGGAUUUUGGGGUGGAAAAUGGGGGGGUUGAGGGUUUGGAAGGGAUUUUGGGGUGGUUUUGGGGUGGAAAAUGGGGGGGUUGGGGAGAUUUUGGGGUGGAAAAUGGGGGUUUGGGGUAGAAAAAUGGGGGAGUUGGGGGUUUGGAGGGGAUUUUGGGGUGGAAAAGGGGGGUUUGGGGUGGAAAUUGGGGGCUAUGGGGGUUUGGAGGGGAUUUUGGGGUGGUUUUGGGGUGGAAAAUGGGUGGGUUGUGGGGGGUUUUGUGGUAGAAAUUGGGGUUUGGGGGAUUUUUGGGUGGGAAAUGGGGGGUUCGGGGGAGGUUUUGGGGUGAAAAAUGGGGGUUUGGGGUGGAAAUUGGGGGGUUUGAGGGUUUAGAGGGGAUUUUGGGGUGGUUUUGGGGUGGAAAAUGGGGAUUCUGGGGUAGGAAAAUGGCGGUUUGGGGGGGGUUUGGGGUGGAAAAUGGGGGGGUUGAGGGUUUGGAAGGGAUUUUGGGGUGGUUUUGGGGUGGAAAAUGGGGGGGUUGGGGGGAUUUUGGGGUGGAAAAUGGGGGUUUGGGGUAGAAAAAUGGGGGGGUUGGGGGUUUGGAGGGGAUUUUGGGGUGGAAAAGGGGGGUUUGGGGUGGAAAUUGGGGGGGUUGAGGGUUUGGAAGGGAUUUUGGGGUGGUUUUGGGGUGGAAAAUGGGUGGGUUGUGGGGGGUUUUGGGGUAGAAAUUGGGGUUUGGGGGAUUUUUGGGUGGGAAAUGGGGGGUUCGGGGGAGGUUUUGGGGUGAAAAAUGGGGGUUUGGGGUGGAAAUUGGGGGGUUUGAGGGUUUAGAGGGGAUUUUGGGGUGGUUUUGGGGUGGAAAAUGGGGAUUCUGGGGUAGGAAAAUGGCGGUUUGGGGGGGUUUUGGGGUGGAAAAUGGGGGCUGUGGGGGUUUGGAGGGGAUUUUGGGGUGGUUUUGGGGUGGAAAAUGGGGCUUUUGAGGGGAUUUUGGGGUGAAAAAUGGGGGUUUGGGGAGUUUUUGAGGGGAUGGGGGGUGAAAAAUGGGGGUUUAGAGGGGAUUUUGGGGUGAAAAAUGGGGGUUUGAGGCAUUAAAACAGUGGGUUCGGUGAACAAAAACCACCACUUUUCAGACUCAGAAAUGGGUGAAGAAAAGGCAAUUUGGGGUCAAUGUGAAAUUGAGAAUAGAAGUUUUAAUUUAAGUUAAAUCCGGAGUUCAUUCCGGGGCAGAAAACCCUCAAAAUGACCCCCAAAAUACCCCCAAAAUCCUCAGGUUUGGGGUUGGGGGGAGGGGGGGGGGGAGGAUAUAGGGGAUAUAUUGGGGUGGGGGGCACAGAAUUGAGACCCCCCCCAACCCCAUAAUGGGGUUGAAUGGGGCGGCUCCAACCCAAGCGGUUCUCAUGGCUGCCCCCAACCGGGUGGGGGGACUUUGGGGGGGGAAAACACCCCAAAAGUGCCCAAUUUUGGGGUUUUUUGACCCAUUUUGGCCAAUGAAAGAUGGGAGACCCAACUGGUGGUGAUUUGGGGGGAAAACGCACCUCAAAAGUGCCCAAAUUUGGGGUUUUUGGACCCAUUUUGGCCAAUGAAAGAUGGGAGACCCAACUGGUGGUGAUUUGGGGGGAAAACACACCUCAAAAGUGCCCCAAUUUGGGGUUUUUGGACCCAUUUUGGCCAAUGAAAGAUGGUAGAGCCAACCAGUUGUGUUGGGAGAUCCAAUGUGUGGGGUUUGGGGGGAAAACACACCUCGAAAGUGCCCAAUUUUGGGGUUUUUUGACCCAUUUUGGCCAAUGAAAGAUGGUAGACCCAACUGGUGGUGUUGGGAGAUCCAAUGUUUGGGGUUUGGGGGGGAAAACACCCCAAAAGUGCCCAAAUUUGGGGUUUUUUGACCCAUUUUGGGCAAUGAAAGAUGGUAGAGCCAACUGGUGGUGUUGGGAGAUCCAAUGUGUGGGGUUUGGGGGGGAAAACACCCCAAAAGUGCCCAAUUUGGGGUUUUUUUGACCUAUUUUGGCCAACGGGAAGUAGGGAGACCCAACUGGUGGUGAUUUGGGGGGAAAACACACCUCAAAAGUGCCCAAUUUUGGGGUUUUUGGACCCAUUUUGGCCAACGGGAAGAAGGGAGACCCAACUGGUGGUGUUUGGGGGGAAAACACCCCUCAAAAGUGCCCAAAUUUGGGGUUUUUGGACCCAUUUUGGCCAAUGAAAGAUGGUAGACCCAUCCGGUUGUGUUGGGAGAUCCAAUGUUUGGGGUUUGGGGGGAAAACACACCCCAAAAGUGCCCAAAUUUGGGGUUUUUGGACCCAUUUUGGCCAACGGGAAGAUGGGAGACCCAACUGGUAGUGAUUUGGGGGGAAAAGAUACCCCAAAAGUGCCUAAACUUGGGGUUUUUGGACCCAUUUUGGCCAAUGAAAGAUGGUAGACCCAUCCGGUUGUGUUGGGAGAUCCAAUGUUUGGGGUUUGGGGGGAAAACACACCCCAAAAGUGCCCAAAUUUGGGGUUUUUGGACCCAUUUUGGCCAACGGGAAGAAGGGAGACCCAACUGGUAGUCAUGUGGGGGGAAAACACACCGCAAAAGUGCCCAAUUUUGGGGUUUUUGGACCCAUUUUGGCCAAUGAAAGAUGGGAGACCCAACCGGUGGUGAUUUGGGGGGAAAACAUACCUCAAAAGUGCCUAAAUUUGGGGUUUUUGGACCCAUUUUGGCCAAUGAAAGAUGGGAGACCCAACCGGUGGUGUUGGGAGAUCCAAUGUGUGGGGUUUGGGGGGGAAAACACCUCAAAAGUGCCAAAUUUGGGGUUUUUUGACACAUUUUGGCCAACGGGAAGAAGGGAGACCCAACUGGUGGUGUUUGGGGGGAAAACACACCCCAAAAGUCCCCAAAUUUGGGGUUUUUGGACCCAUUUUGGCCAAUGAAAGAUGGUAGACCCAACUGGUGGUGUUGGAAACCCAACUGGUGGUGAUUUGGGAGGAAAACACACCCCAAAAGUGCCCAAUUUUGGGGUUUUUGGACCCAUUUUGGCCAACGGGAAGAAGGGAGACCCAACUGGUGGUGUUUGGGGGGAAAACACCCCUCAAAAGUGCCCAAAUUUGGGGUUUUUGGACCCAUUUUGGCCAAUGAAAGAUGGUAGACCCAUCCGGUUGUGUUGGGAGAUCCAAUGUUUGGGGUUUGGGGGGAAAACACAUCCUUAAAAGUGCCCAAAUUUAGGGCUUUUUGACCCAUUUUGGCCAACAAGAAGAUGGGAGACCCAACUGGUCGUGUUUGGGGGGAAAACACACCCCAAAAGUGCCCAAUUUUGGGAUUUUUUGACCCAUUUUGGCCAACGGGAAGAAAGUAGACCCAACUGGUGGUAUUUGGGGGGAAAACACACCUCAGAAGUGCCCAAAUUUGGGGUUUUUGGACUCAUUUUGGCCAAUUGGAAGUAGGGAGACCAAACUGGUGGUGUUGGGAGAUCCAAUGUGUGGGCUUUGGGGGGAAAACACACCUCAAAAGUGCCCAAAUUUGGGUUUUUUUGACCCAUUUUGGCCAACGAAAGAUGGUAGACCCAACCGGUUGUGUUGGGAGAUCCAAUGUGUGGGGUUUGGGGGGGAAAACACCCCAAAAGUGCCCAAUUUGGGGUUUUUUUGACCUAUUUUGGCCAACGGGAAGUAGGGAGACCCAACUGGUGGUGAUUGGGGGGAAAACACACCUCAAAAGUGCCCCAAUUUGGGGUUUUUGGACCCAUUUUGGCCAAUGAAAGAUGGUAGACCCAUCCGGUUGUGUUGGGAGAUCCAAUCUUUGGGGUUUGGGGGGAAAAGAUACCCCAAAAGUGCCCAAAUUUGGGGUUUUUGGACCCAUUUUGACCAACGGGAAGUAGGGAGACCCAACUGGUGGUGAUUUGGGGGGAAAACACACCCCAAAAGUGCCCAAUUUUGGGGUUUUUGGACCCAUUUUGGCCAACGGGAAGAAGGGAGACCCAACUGGUAGUCAUGUGGGGGGAAAACACAUCGCAAAAGUGCCCCAUUUUGGGGUUUUUGGACCCAUUUUGGCCAACGGGAAGAAAGUAGACCCAACUGGUGGUAUUUGGGGGGAAAACACACCUCAAAAGUGCCCAAUUUUGGGGUUUUUUGACCCAUUUUGGCCAACGGGAAGAAAGUAGACCCAACUGGUGGUGUUUGGAGGGAAAUACACCCCAAAAGUGCCCAAAUUUGGGGUUUUUUGACCCAUUUUAGGCCAACAGGAAGAAGGGAGACCCAACUGGUGGUGUUUGGAAGGGAAACUCACCUCAAAAGUGCCCAAUUUGGGGUUUUUUGACCCAUUUUGGCCAAUGAAAGAUGGGAGACCCAACUGGUGGUGAUUUGGGGGGAAAACACCCCUCAAAAGUGCCCCAAUUUGGGGUUUUUGGACCCAUUUUGGCCAAUGGGAAGAAAGUAGACCCAAGUGGUGGUGGUAGGGGGGAAAACACACCUCAAAAGUGCCCCAAUUUGGGGUUUUUGGACCCAUUUUGGCCAAUGAAAGAUGGGAGACCCAACUGGUGGUGUUGGGAGAUCCAAUGUUUGGGGUUUGGGGGGAAAUACACCUCAAAAGUGCCCAAUCUUGGGGUUUUUUGACCCAUUUUGGCCAACGGGAAGAAGGGAGACCCAACUGGUGGUAUUUGGGGGGAAAACACACCCCAAAAGUCCCCCAAUUUGGGGUUUUUGGAUCCAUUUUGGCCAAUGAAAGAUGGUAGACCCAACUGGUGGUGGUGGAAACCCAACUGGUGGUGAUUUGGGAGGAAAACACACCCCAAAAGUGCCCAAUUUUGGGGUUUUUUGACCCAUUUUGGCCAACGGGAAGAAGGGAGACCCAACUGGUGGUGUUUGGAAGGGAAACUCACCUCAAAAGUGCCCAAUUUGGGGUUUUUUUGAUCCAUUUUGGCCAAUGAAAGAUGGUAGAGCCAACUGGUGGUGAUUUGGGAGGGAAAUACACCCCAAAAGUGCCCAAAUUUGGGGUUUUUGGACCCAUUUUGGCCAACGGGAAGAAGGGAGACCCAACUGGUAGUCAUGUGGGGUGAAAACACACCCCAAAAGUGCCCAAUUUUGGGGUUUUUUGACCCAUUUUGGCCAAUGAAAGAUGGGAGACCCAACUGGUGGUGAUUUGGGGGGAAAACACACCUCAAAAGUGCCCAAUUUUGGGGUUUUUGGACCCAUUUUGGCCAACGGGAAGAAGGGAGACCCAACUGGUGGUGUUUGGGGGGAAAACACCCCUCAAAAGUGCCCAAAUUUGGGGUUUUUGGACCCAUUUUGGCCAAUGAAAGAUGGUAGACCCAUCCGGUUGUGUUGGCAGAUCCAAUGUUUGGGGUUUGGGGGGAAAACACAUCCUUAAAAGUGCCCAAAUUUAGGGCUUUUUGACCCAUUUUGGCCAACAAGAAGAUGGGAGACCCAACUGGUCGUGUUUGGGGGGAAAACACACCCCAAAAGUGCCCUAUUUUGGGAUUUUUUGACCCAUUUUGGCCAACGGGAAGAAAGUAGACCCAACUGGUGGUAUUUGGGGGGAAAACACACCUCAGAAGUGCCCAAAUUUGGGGUUUUUGGACUCAUUUUGGCCAAUUGGAAGUAGGGAGACCAAACUGGUGGUGUUGGGAGAUCCAAUGUGUGGGCUUUGGGGGGAAAACACACCUCAAAAGUGCCCAAAUUUGGGGUUUUUUGACCCAUUUUGGCCAACGAAAGAUGGUAGACCCAACCGGUUGUGUUGGGAGAUCCAAUGUGUGGGGUUUGGGGGGGAAAACACCUCAAAAGUGCCCAAUUUGGGGUUUUUUUGACACAUUUUGGCCAACGGGAAGAAGGGAGACCCAACUGGUGGUAUUUGGGGGGAAAACACACCCCAAAAGUCCCCAAAUUUGGGGUUUUUUGACCCAUUUUGGCCAAUGAAAGAUGGUAGACCCAACUGGUGGUGUUGGAAACCCAACUGGUGGUGAUUUGGGAGGAAAACACACCCCAAAAGUGCCCAAUUUUGGGGUUUUUUGACCCAUUUUGGCCAACGGGAAGAAGGGAGAUCCAACUGGUGGUGUUUGGGGGGAAAACAAACCCCAAAAGUGCCCUAUUUUGGGUCUCUUCACCCCAUUUUGGUUAUGGAAAAGGCCAUGACACCCAACCGACACCAUUUUGGUGGCAAACACACCUCAAAAGCAACCAAUUUUGGGUCUUUUCACCCCAUUUUGGCCAACGGGAAGAAGGAAGACCCAACCGACAUCAUUUUGGUGGCAAACACACCUCAAAAGUGCCCAAAUUUGGGUUUUUUUGCCCCAUUUUGGCCACGGAAGAGACCACGACACCCAACCGACGUCGUUUUGGUGCCAAACCCACCCCAAAAGCCCCCAAUUUUGGCCUUUUUCACCCCAUUUUAGGCCUACCGGAACUCCAACACCGCCCGUAGAGCGUUGGCCAACCUUCCUCCCCCAUUGAGGGCACCGAGGGCCUCGUGUCCGUCUGUCCAUCCCUCCACCUGUCCAUCUGUCCAUCCAUCUGUCCAUUCAUCCAUCCAUGCAUCCAUCCCUCCAUCCCCC